rnacentral:rRNA from 1 species
UACGUAGGUGUCGAGCGUUGUCCGGAUUUAUUGGGCGUAAAGAGCCCGCAGGCGGCUUGGCAAGUUUGAGGUGAAAUCUCCCGGCUUAACUGGGAGGGGGCCUCGAAAACUGCCAGGCUUGAGGCAUGGAGAGGGAUGCGGAAUUCCCGGUGUAGUGGUGAAAUGCGUAGAUAUCGGGAGGAACACCAGUGGCGAAGGCGGCAUCCUGGCCAUGUCCUGACGCUCAGGGGCGAAAGCGUGGGGAGCGAACAGG